rnacentral:rRNA from 1 species
UGAGGAAUAUUGGGCAAUGCCCGCAAGGGUGACCCAGCAACGCCGCGUGGAGGAUGAAGGCCGUAAGGUUGUAAACUCCUGUUAGAGGAGAAGAAUAGUACCGAUUGGAUCGGUAUUUGACUGUACCCUCAGAGAAAGCCCCGGCUAACUACGUGCCAGCAGCCGCGGUAAUACGUAGGGGGCAAGCGUUGUCCGGAUUUACUGGGUGUAAAGGGCGCGCAGGCGGGAUAGCAAGUCAGAGGUGAAAUCCUACAGCUUAACUGUAGAACUGCCUUUGAUACUGUUAUUCUUGAGUUCGGGAGAGAGAGACGGAAUUCCAGGUGUAGUGGUGAAAUACGUAGAUAUCUGGAAGAACACCAGUUGCGAAGGCGGUCUCUUGGUCCGAUACUGACGCUGAGGCGCGAAAGCGUGGGGAGCAAACAGG